CCCUCACACACACCCCAGCGUGUACACCACACACACACACACACACACACACACACACACACACACACACACACGUGCACCCUUUCCACCAAUGGGAACAGGCGUGCGUCCCAGCCGCCUAUCCCCGGAGAGAUCUAAUCGAUGGCACGCGCGAGCUGGGGGCGGGGACAGACUCCAGUGUUUGAAUAAGAAGAAAAAAAGUUUAAGUUUAUGGCAACCCCACGGUGAGGGAGAGGGAGGGUAGCCAGGAGGGAGGCGGCAGGCCGGCCAGAGGUCCCGGAGGGGGUGGGGAGGCUGGAGGCUGAGGUUUCAGCUGGCUCCCUUCUCCUGGUUAUGAAACUCAUUAACAAGCCGCUCCACAAGUUUUUAAGACAACAGAGCCAGCUCAGGCCAAGGCGACCUCAGAGGAGCUGUGGAAAGCUGUGCGGGCUGAGCGACAAUGACACUGCAGGCAGGGUACUACGUGAGCAUCCCGCAAGCAGGACAAGCAGGGCUGGCAGGCCCAGGCCUCGAAACACACCCACCCACGUCCAUAGACCCCGCGAGUGAAAGUGUCGUGAACAGUGGAGUGUUUUUAAACGGGCCAAGCACACCAACUCCGGAGAGAAAAUGAAGCACUUUUCAAUGAGAAGCUGUCUGGGCAAAGAGAACUCCUUUGGUAAAAGCACGCCCUGCACACAGCCUCCUCUCUGUUCCUCCCUUCCUUCCUCCCUCCCUUCCCUCAGGCUUACUUCCUGACCCCUGGCCCUGUGUCCAAAAUCCUCCCUGAUUAAGAAAGGCAGCUUCCCAUAGCGGAAGUUGAAACGUCUAAGUUGACCCCAACCUGCCACUGGCUAACUGUGAGGUCUCAGCAAAUCUCUCUGGCUCCCUGGCCCCGGUUUCCCCACCAGAACAUCUCUCCGGGGCUAAAACCCCAAGAUGCCAGCAGCUCAGAGAAUAUGUCCCCACUGCCGGGGGUGGGGGUGGGGGAGCAGGCCUGGGGAGGGGUAAACUGAGGGAGCGGCGGCCUCCCGCAGGGACUCACGCUCAGUGCAGUACUGGCCUUUCCAGCCAGGGUUGCAGACUUUUUCCCCUCGCUCCCCGCAGGUGAAGUGGCCGAAGGCGUCGUCGCGGGGGCGGCAGAAGACGGAGCAGCCUUCCCCGUAGUAGUGUUCGUCACACACGAAUCGGUAGGAGUACUUGAGGUCUGUGCGACCGCUGCUGUGCAGGUCCUGGGACCACUCCUCGCCCACCGUCAGGUGCCUCUGCGUGGCCAGGCGGCUGAUGAGCCUUUCCGGGUUCUCUGCAGGAAGAGGAUGCUCUGUUGGUUCUGACUGGGAACCCAGAGGCUCGGGGAGUGAGGGAGGUGGAAAGGAUGCUGGGCAAGGAGGCUGAAGGCUCUUCUCCUCAACCUUCCGGAGUAACUUGCAGAAUGAAAGAUGCAGACGUUUGUUUCUGGGGAGAUCUGAACUCAAAUACAUAAUAACUGGAGACGCAGUUUGCACAGUUUGGGAGCGUUUUGGUUUGUUUUUACCUGUUGCGAGGUCAUCAGGAGAAUCAGAGUGGAGAGCUUCAAUGAUCAGAGAGAAGGUUCCCUGGAGGAAGGGGGAGGAGACAGAAGAUAAACCAGAAAUGUUUAAAAAAGAAUCAAAGCUUUCGGGACGACCAAGUCGUCGCAGGUCUGUGUGCAGUGUGUCGUGGGGGUGGGGAGGGUCUCUGUACAUCUCUUGUCUGAUUUCACUUUCCUUAAGGAAAUGGAAGGACUUUUUAAAGAGUGGUUUCCUGACGUGUUUUUUCAGCCUGUUAAUACAGGAUAUCGCAGUAAAAAAAAAAAAAAAAAGAAGAAGAAGAAAAAGAAAAGGAAAAA